CUCCAAUAGCGUAUAUUAAAGUUGUUGCAGUUAAAAAGCUCGUAGUUGAAUUUCGGGAUUGACACAUCGGUCGUGCCUUAAGGGGUGUGAACUGGUGUAGUCAAUUUCUCACCUUCUGGAGAACCGCGAUGUCCUUAAUUGGGUGCCGCGAGGAACCAGGACCUUUACUUUGAAAAAAUUAGAGUGUUUAAAGCAGGCAUUUUUGCUUGAAUACAUUAGCAUGGAAUAAUAAAAUAGGACGGCAUGAUUCUAUUUUGUUGGUUUCUAGGAUCACCGUAAUGAUUAAUAGGGAUAGUUGGGGGCAUUAGUAUUCAAUUGUCAGAGGUGAAAUUCUUGGAUUUAUUGAAGACUAACUACUGCGAAAGCAUUUGCCAAGGAUGUUUUCAUUAAUCAAGAACGAAAGUUAGGGGAUCGAAGACGAUCAGAUACCGUCGUAGUCUUAACCAUAAACUAUGCCGACUAGGAAUCAGACGAUGUUAAUU
rnacentral:rRNA from 1 species